ACCUCUUCCGCUGCUGCUGCUCCUUUGUACAAUCAAGCUGAAGAAGAACACAGUGCCUCUGACGGUGAAGUGAGGGCUGUUGCUUCAGUUCAUUCUGGGUCCCUCUUGCCAACAAAAAGCUCCCAUGGUCCCGCCAUUCUUGAGCAGAUUAAGGUCCGAAUGCACCUGAUAGCCUAGACCUGAAGCUUGAGGAAUGCUUUAAAGAGAUGACCUUUUAGGUAUCGAAGUUUAGAUGUGUCAGAAUUAUCUACAGACACACCUGGAAGCUUCUGCUAGAAAAAGUGAACGCUAGCUUCUUCUUAUGCCGCUAGUCUUAUAUACUCGACUCCAUGUUCCAAGGUUCUUGCCUUGAUGUUAACAUGCCAAUAAAGCAAAAGGUUCAGCUUUUGACGUUUCCUCGGUUCACCGGUUGCAUUAUGAGACUUGACACUGCCAUCUUAGGAUGCUGGGACUUGUUUCCUGGGAAGGAGAGACCGUACAGAGGACACUGGAAUGCACUUGACAAGCCAUCCAAUAGGCCAAGUUAGUGAUGCUAUCCCAAUGCAGGCAGCCCACUGUGUCCAGCCCAGCCUCUCGGUGUUUGCGAACUUCUUGAGGAACUCGAUCAUCAGCACCUGGAAAACUAAGAGGACGAAGCAGUUGAAGACGAUUGUGUUCUUGACCACCUCGCCCACCCUGAAAAUGGACCUGCCCUUGAACUGAAGGAUCAGAAGGACAGUGACUUGAUAUAAAGCUUGAGCAAGGAGAUUUCUCCACAUGACGAGGG